rnacentral:rRNA from 1 species
ACUCAAAGGAAUAGACGGGGGCCCGCACAAGCAGCGGAGCGUGUGGUUUAAUUCGACGCAACGCGAAGAACCUUACCUAGGCUUGACAUGUACGUGGUACGAGCGUGAAAGCGUGAGGACUCGCAAGAGAGCGUACACAGAUGCUGCAUGGCUGUCGUCAGCUCGUGCCGUGAGGUGUUGGGUUAAGUCCCGCAACGAGCGCAACCCUCGCUGCCAGUUACCAUGUCUGGCGGGACCGCCGGGUCCAACCCGGAGGAAGGUGGGGAUGACGUCAAGUCAGCACGGCUCUUACGUCUAGGGCUACACACACGCUACAAUGGCCGGUACAACGCGCAGCGAUGGGGCGACCCGGAGCGAAUCGCAUCAAAGCCGGUCUCAGUUGGGAUUGCAGGCUGCAACUCGCCUGCAUGAACGCGGAGUUGCUAGUAACCGCAGGUCAGCACACUGCGGUGAAUACGUUCCCGGGCCUUGUACACACCGCCCGU